CCCUAACCUGACUUUGAUGCCAACGUUUCCAUCUCUGGACAUGGAUCUGUAUCUUAGCAAUGCCAACAUAAGACCAUUGCAUCAGACAUUGAAGAUGAAGAUAAUGACUGCAACGGCUUCCACAUUACCAUCAACCUCUUCUUCAGUCACUGCUUCAUUUUCCAAAUUAAAGUCUUUGUAUUUAGAAGACAUUGAGGAUCUAUCAUCUCUACCUGGAGAGUGGAUGCAGGGCCUCAUCUCCCUUGACAAUCUUAAUGUUUCUAUGCUAUCAAAUCUGGUGUCUCUACCG
rnacentral:misc_RNA from 1 species